rnacentral:rRNA from 1 species
UACGUAGGGGGCAAGCGUUGUCCGGAUUUAUCGGGCGUAAAGAGCGUGUAGGCGGCUAGGUAGGUCCGCUGUGAAAACUCGAGGCUCAACCUCGAGACGUCGGUUGAAACCACCUGGCUAGAGUCCGGAAGAGGAGAGUGGAAUUCCCGGUGUAGCGGUGAAAUGCGCAGAUAUCGGGAAGAACACCCGUGGCGAAGGCGGCUCUCUGGGACGGUACUGACGCUGAGACGCGAAAGCGUGGGGAGCGAACAGG